GCAGGCCUAACACAUGCAAGUCGAGCGCGAAAGGCCUUCGGGUUGAGUAGAGCGGCGGACGGGUGAGUAACGCGUAGGAAUCUAUCCAGUAGUGGGGGACAACAUGGGGAAACUCAUGCUAAUACCGCAUACGCCCUACGGGGGAAAGCGGGGGAUCUUCGGACCUCGCGCUAUUGGAGGAGCCUGCGUUGGAUUAGCUUGUUGGUGAGGUAAAGGCUCACCAAGGCGACGAUCCAUAGCUGGUCUGAGAGGAUGAUCAGCCACACCGGGACUGAGACACGGCCCGGACUCCUACGGGAGGCAGCAGUGGGGAAUAUUGCGCAAUGGGCGAAAGCCUGACGCAGCCAUGCCGCGUGUGUGAAGAAGGCCUUCGGGUUGUAAAGCACUUUCAAUUGGGAAGAAAGGUUGGUAGCUAAUACCUGCCAGCUGUGACAUUACCUUUAGAAGAAGCACCGGCUAACUCCGUGCCAGCAGCCGCGGUAAUACGGAGGGUGCGAGCGUUAAUCGGAAUUACUGGGCGUAAAGCGCGCGUAGGCGGUUUGUUAAGUCGGAUGUGAAAGCCCCGGGCUCAACCUGGGAAUUGCAUCCGAUACUGGCCGACUGGAGUGCGAGAGAGGGAGGUAGAAUUCCACGUGUAGCGGUGAAAUGCGUAGAUAUGUGGAGGAAUACCGGUGGCGAAGGCGGCCUCCUGGCUCGACACUGACGCUGAGGUGCGAAAGCGUGGGGAGCAAACAGGAUUAGAUACCCUGGUAGUCCACGCCGUAAACGAUGUCUACUAGCCGUUGGGAGACUUGAUUUCUUGGUGGCGAAGUUAACGCGAUAAGUAGACCGCCUGGGGAGUACGGCCGCAAGGUUAAAACUCAAAUGAAUUGACGGGGGCCCGCACAAGCGGUGGAGCAUGUGGUUUAAUUCGAUGCAACGCGAAGAACCUUACCAGGCCUUGACAUCCUAGGAAUCCUGCAGAGAUGCGGGAGUGCCUUCGGGAAUCUAGUGACAGGUGCUGCAUGGC
rnacentral:rRNA from 1 species